GUGAGGAAUAUUGCGCAAUGGAGGCAACUCUGACGCAGCCAUGCCGCGUGCAGGAAGAAGGCGCUACGCGUUGUAAACUGCUUUUAACCGGGAAGAAACCCCAGGACGUGUCCUGGGUUGACGGUACCGGAGGAAUAAGCACCGGCUAACUUCGUGCCAGCAGCCGCGGUAAUACGAAGGGUGCAAGCGUUAUCCGGAUGCAUUGGGUUUACAGGGUGCGUAGGCGGAGCGUUAAGUCAGUGGUGAAAUCCUGCAGCUUAACUGUAGACUUGCCAUUGAUACUGGCGCUCUUGAGUGCGCUUGAAGUGGGCGGAAUGUGCCGUGUAGCGGUGAAAUGCUUAGAUAUGGCACAGAACACCAAUUGCGAAGGCAGCUCACUAAGGCGAUACUGACGCUGAGGCACGAAAGCGUGGGGAUCGAACAGGAUUAGGAACCCCUGUAGUCC
rnacentral:rRNA from 1 species